GUCGUGGUGGUCUCCGGCGUGGUGGUGGUAGAUUCCUGGAAGGGAGACAAGGUCCAGGAGGGCGCCGAGUCGUGGACGUAGAUCUUGUAGGAGGAGUAAGUCGCGGCGAUCAGCCUCCUCGAUGAUUACGAUUUUUUAUCCCAAGCGCGCGGAUCCUGCUGCGGGCGGGCACAUUCCUUCACAUCCACGCUCCUUCUCGCCUCUCCUCCUUCUCCUCGCCCCUCGGGGCCGGGGGAUCUUCUCUCGCCUUCUCGCUCCCUCCCCCGCCCGCUCGGCUCCCGCCUCUGCCCGGCCGCGGCGCAGCGGCAGCCCCCGGCUGCUCGGCGGGGAGGCGGCGGCGCGGCGCCCGCCACUCCGCGGCCCCGCGGCCAACCCGCGGCCGGCGCUGGGCCAGGGAGGCCGAUCCGCGGGCGGGGCCCGGGGCAGGAGGCUCGGCUGGGCUCGGCUUCUCCGCGCCCGCGCUGAAGUCCGGCCCGCACGCAAUAAAACUCCGGUGAGGAUGCCCGGGAAAAAUAAUAAUAAAAACAAUAAGGAAAAAUCCACGCAGCCAAAUAAAUAAAUAAAAAAUGAACCCCUGGAGCGGCGGACGCCAGUGACCCAGUCGGCAAAAGCACGGAUCCGGCCAAUAGAUGGGCACGCACGCGGCAGCCCCUGCCAAGCUUGCAGCUCCUGCUCAAUUGUGCAUUCGUCUCGCGGCGCAGGGGAGGCAGGCGAGCGCGCAGCAAGUAAGGCGCCUCCCACCAGAGCCUAAUGGUGGUUUCUUAAUGCGCACAAGAUAAAUAAAUGAUCCGGGCAAAGCCCUCGGGAGGGUGGGUGCUACGGCUAGCGGAGCCUGGGAAAGGGAGGAAGAGAAGGGAAGGAAGAGAAAAAGAGAGAAGAAGAAGAGGGUAACUGCGGAGCGCCUGAACCCAUCCGGCGGUGCGGCAGUAACCAACUGCGCUGCGCCGCAAGGCAAAAAGACGCGUGGAGAGAGGGAGGUGGAGACACCUUCAGAGAGGAUUCCUCGCCAACGACCGGGGCUCAGGACGAGGCGUUUUCUGACGCUGAUGCUCUCUGAUGGCUAACAAUGAACAGCGUUUGUUGUUUGUGAAAAGGAUUCCCUCCAGGAAAGCUAAGACCAGCAGCAGCCACCUGCAACAAAAGGACGGCCCUCUGCUGCUGCCGGGGUGAGGGACGGCACGGGCACCCGUCUCACGGCUACCAGGAUGCUCCCAGACCAGUGCGGAUGUUGAGGCUGCCCCAACUGCUUCAUCUACUUCAGAGGGUUACGUUCAUUGUGACCAACAGCGUGCGCUUCCCUCUCACCCUCUGGAUUGACCAUUUAAACGCUGGUGGUGGUCACUGAAGGGUUAACAGCCCGGUACCAAAGGGUGAGCUUAAUGCCGUUUGCCAGAUUUUAGAGAAUGGUUUAUAACACCGUAUACGUGCAAAUGCUUUUAACCCCUUCUACUAAACUAUUAAACCAUUGGCGUCAUUUCCUGGUAAUGACACUUCAGUAUAAUUUCCUUAGUCACUUAUGUAGAAAUGGAUUAAUAUUUAUACAGAAUAAUUGAACAGGAAGAAAAUGGAAAGGAAAUGUGAAAUACAUUAUUUAUUUUUUCUGUCUGUACACAAACAUAGGAAAUAAAAUACUGCAGCUGAAAAGUA